rnacentral:rRNA from 1 species
GCAGCAGUGGGGAAUAUUGCACAAUGGGCGCAAGCCUGAUGCAGCCAUGCCGCGUGUGUGAAGAAGGCCUUCGGGUUGUAAAGCACUUUCAGUCGUGAGGAAGGUAGUGUAGUUAAUAGCUGCAUUAUUUGACGUUAGCGACAGAAGAAGCACCGGCUAACUCCGUGCCAGCAGCCGCGGUAAUACGGAGGGUGCGAGCGUUAAUCGGAAUUACUGGGCGUAAAGCGCAUGCAGGUGGUUUGUUAAGUCAGAUGUGAAAGCCCGGGGCUCAACCUCGGAAUUGCAUUUGAAACUGGCAGACUAGAGUACUGUAGAGGGGGGUAGAAUUUCAGGUGUAGCGGUGAAAUGCGUAGAGAUCUGAAGGAAUACCGGUGGCGAAGGCGGCCCCCUGGACAGAUACUGACACUCAGAUGCGAAAGCGUGGGGAGCAA